rnacentral:rRNA from 1 species
GGGUCAGUAGGUUGGUCGUGCCACCGGUACGUACUGGUCUCACUGAUUCCUCCUUCCUGAAGAACCGUAAUGCCUUUAAUUUGGUGUUGCGGGGAAACAGGACUGUUACUGUGAAAAAAUUAGAGUGUUUAAAGCAAGCUAACGCUUGAAUACAUUAGCAUGGAAUAAUGAAAUAGGACGAUCGAUCCUAUUUUGUUGGUUUCUAGGAUUGACGUA